CCGGAUACAGUGGCUUGCACCUGUGGUCUCAGCGACUUGGGCGACUGAAGCAAGAAGAUCACUUGAGCCUAGGAGUUCGAGGCUACAGCAAGCUAUGACCGUGCCACUGCACUCCAGCCUGGGCGUGACAGACCAGCUCUUCUUCUGAAGGAUGACCACCUGGAAUAAGAGCAGCCCUAGGCCCCCCACCUCACUCCAGGUGGCAGAUCCACAGAGAUGGUAGCGAUACAGAAGCACAGCUUCCGAUGGCUUCCCCGUGUCUUCAGUUUGCAGCCUUAUUUCGGUGCUUGGACGUGCUUAACUUCUCAGGAUUAUAUUCUGCUUUGGAGUGCAAGGAGAAAGUCACAGUCUAGUUUUAUGAAGACCAAACUAGAGAAAAUCGAGUUAUCUUAAAGUGUAUGACAUCUCCACAAAUGAAUGUUUAUGGCUUUACACUUGGAGUGUUCUUGGAACACUCUUCAUAGCAAAUCCUCCCUCAGAAGACCCCCACCUGGCAUCAGAACAAACGUCUACCUAAUCUUCCAAACUCUGUGUAAAUCCUGGAUCCACCAUUUACCAGCUGUGUAACCCUGGACAACAAUUCCAUCUUUC
rnacentral:lncRNA from 1 species